AACCCAUGAUGAGGGAACCAUCUCAAUAGGUCCUUGUAUCUCUCCCACGCAUCAUAUAGAUUCUUUAAAUCGAUCUACAUAAAAGAAGAGAUGUCAUUCCUCAACUU
rfam:Gossypium hirsutum cultivar TM-1 chromosome 17, whole genome shotgun sequence